rnacentral:rRNA from 1 species
CGUAGGCGGACUUGAAGGCACCUUGUGAAAUCCCUCGGCUCAACCGAGGAACUGCAGGGUGAACCAUGAGUCUCGAGACAGGUAGAGGUUGUCGGAACGAUAGGUGGAGUGGUGAAAUGCGUUGAUAUCUAUCGGAACGCCAAUGGAGAAGUCAGGCAACUGGGCCUGUUCUGACGCUGAGGCACGAAAGCGUGGGGAGCGAACGGGAUUAGAUACCCCGGUAGUCCACGCCGUAAACGAUGCGUACUAGGUUGGGGAAGCUCUGACGCUGUUCCCGGCUGAAGCAAAAGUAUUAAGUACGCCGCCUGGGGAGUACGGUCGCAAGGCUAAAACUCAAAGGAAUUGACGGGGGCUCACACAAGCGGUGGAGCAUGUGGCUUAAUUCGAAGCAACGCGAAGAACCUUAUCCUGGGCUUGACAUGUACGAAUUAGCUUCCUGAAAGGGAAGUGACGCCUUCGGGUGGAACGUACACAGGUGCUGCAUGGCUGUCGUCAGCUCGUGCUGUGAAGUGUCGGGUUAAGUCCCUUAACGAGCGCAACCCCUGUCGUUAGUUGCUAGCAGGUAAUGCUGAGGACUCUAACGAGACUGCCGGUGUUAAACCGGACGAAGGUGGGGAUGACGUCAAGUCCGCAUGGCCUUUAUGCCCAGGGCUGCACACGUGCUACAAUGGCAGGUACAGAACGAUGCAAUACCGCGAGGUGGAGCAAAUCGCGAAAACCUGCCCCAGUUCGGAUUGGAGGCUGCAAUUCGCCUCCAUGAAGUUGGAAUCGCUAGUAAUCGCGGAUCAGCAUGCCGCGGUGAAUACGUUCCUGAGCCUUGUACACACCGCCCGUCAAGUC